rnacentral:rRNA from 1 species
AUUGAACGCUGGCGGCAGGCCUAACACAUGCAAGUCGAGCGGAUGAAGGGAGCUUGCUCCUGGAUUCAGCGGCGGACGGGUGAGUAAUGCCUAGGAAUCUGCCUGGUAGUGGGGGAUAACGUCCGGAAACGGGCGCUAAUACCGCAUACGUCCUGAGGGAGAAAGUGGGGGAUCUUCGGACCUCACGCUAUCAGAUGAGCCUAGGUCGGAUUAGCUAGUUGGUGGGGUAACGGCCUACCAAGGCGACGAUCCGUAACUGGUCUGAGAGGAUGAUCAGUCACACUGGACCUGAGACCCGUCCCAGACUCCUACGGGGGGCAGCAGUGGGGAAUAUUGGCCAUUGGGCGAAAGCCUGAUCCAGCCAUGCCGCGUGUGUGAAGAAGGUCUUCGGUUUGUAAAGCACUUUAAGUUGGGAGGAAGGGCAGUAAGUUAAUACCUUGCUGUUUUGACGUUCCCAACAGAAUAAGCACCGGCUAACUUCGU